rnacentral:rRNA from 1 species
UACGUAGGUGGCAAGCGUCGUCCGGAUUUACUGGGCGUAAAGCGAACGCAGGCGGAUGGUUAAGUAGGAAGUGAAAGGUGGGAGCUCAACUCCUACACUGCUCCCUAUACUGGCCGUCUUGAGUAGCGGAGAGGAAGAGGGAACGACACGUGUAGCGGUGAAAUGCGUUGAUAUGUGUCGGAACACCAAUGGCGAAAGCACUCUUCUGGACGCAAACUGGCGCUGAGGUUCGAAAGCCAAGGUAGCAAACAGG